rnacentral:rRNA from 1 species
AUUGAACGCUGGCGGCAUGCUUUACACAUGCAAGUCGAACGGCAGCACGGACUUCGGUCUGGUGGCGAGUGGCGAACGGGUGAGUAAUACAUCGGAACGUGCCCAGUUGUGGGGGAUAACUACUCAAAGAGUAGCUAAUACCGCAUGAGAACUGAGGUUGAAAGCAGGGGAUCGUAAGACCUUGCGCAACUGGAGCGGCCGAUGGCAGAUUAGGUAGUUGGUGGGAUAAAAGCUUACCAAGCCGACGAUCUGUAGCUGGUCUGAGAGGACGACCAGCCACACUGGGACUGAGACACGGCCCAGACUCCUACGGGAGGCAGCAGUGGGGAAUUUUGGACAAUGGGCGAAAGCCUGAUCCAGCAAUGCCGCGUGCAGGAUGAAGGCCUUCGGGUUGUAAACUGCUUUUGUACGGAACGAAAAGCUUCGGGUUAAUACCCUGGAGUCAUGACGGUACCGUAAGAAUAAGCACCGGCUAACUACGUGCCAGCAGCCGCCGUAACAC